AACGAACGCUGGCGGCAUGCCUAACACAUGCAAGUCGAACGAGACCUUCGGGUCUAGUGGCGCACGGGUGCGUAACGCGUGGGAACCUGCCCUUAGGUUCGGAAUAACUCCCCGAAAGGGGUGCUAAUACCGGCUAUUGUCUUCGGACCAAAGAUUUAUCGCCUUUGGAUGGGCCCGCGUUGGAUUAGCUUGUUGGUAGGGUAAAAGCCUACCAAGGCGACGAUCCAUAGCUGGUCUGAGAGGAUGAUCAGCCACACUGGGACUGAGACACGGCCCAGACUCCUACGGGAGGCAGCAGUGGGGAAUAUUGGACAAUGGGCGAAAGCCUGAUCCAGCAAUGCCGCGUGAGUGAUGAAGGCCUUAGGGUUGUAAAGCUCUUUUACCCGGGAUGAUAAUGACAGUACCGGGAGAAUAAGCUCCGGCUAACUCCGUG
rnacentral:rRNA from 1 species